UGGCGAUGAGGAGACACCGACUGUGUUGAACUAUAGUGAUAGCUUUAUACGCUAUUCUGAGCCAGCA
ensembl:snoRNA small nucleolar RNA, C/D box 54